rnacentral:rRNA from 1 species
CGGGGAAUUAGGGUUCGAUUCCGGAGAGGGAGCCUGAGAAACGGCUACCACAUCUAAGGAAGGCAGCAGGCGCGCAAAUUACCCAAUCCUGACUCAGGGAGGUAGUGACAAGAAAUAACAACACUGGAAAUUUYAUUUCUAGUGAUUGGAAUGAUGGGAAUCCAAACCCCUUUCAGAGUAACAAUUGGAGGGCAAGUCUGGUGCCAGCAGCCGCGGUAAUUCCAGCUCCAAUAGCGUAUAUUAAAGUUGUUGCAGUUAAAAAGCUCGUAGUUGGAUAUCUGCUGGAAGCAAUCAGUCCGCCCAUUU